UAGAACAGCGUGUUGAUGCAU
ensembl:piRNA 21ur-3565 ncRNA